UACAGAGGGUGCAAGCGUUAAUCGGAAUUACUGGGCGUAAAGCGUGCGUAGACGGUUAUGUAAGUCGGGUGUGAAAGCCCCGGGCUCAACCUGGGAACUGCAUUUGUGACUGCAUGGCUGGAGUGCGGCAGAGGGGGAUGGAAUUCCGCGUGUAGCAGUGAAAUGCGUAGAUAUGCGGAGGAACACCGAUGGCGAAGGCAAUCCCCUGGGCCUGCACUGACGCUCAUGCACGAAAGCGUGGGGAGCAAACAGG
rnacentral:rRNA from 1 species